rnacentral:rRNA from 1 species
UACGUAGGGUGCUAGCGUUGUUCGGAAUCAUUGGGCGUAAAGCGCGUGUAGGCUGUUGAUUAAGUCGGGUGUGAAAUCCCUGGGCUCAACCGAGGAAGUGCAUCCGAAACUAAUUAGCUAGAAGAUGGUAGAGGAAGGUGGAAUUCCAAGUGUAGAGGUGAAAUUCGUAGAUAUUUGGAGGAAUACCGGUGGCGAAGGCGGCCUUCUGGGCCAUUCUUGACGCUGAGACGCGAAAGCGUGGGUAGCAAACAG